rnacentral:rRNA from 1 species
AGUGAACGCUGGCGGUAGGCCUAACACAUGCAAGUCGAACGGCAGCACAGUAAGAGCUUGCUCUUACGGGUGGCGAGUGGCGGACGGGUGAGGCAUACAUCGGAAUCUACUUUUUCGUGGGGGAUAACGUAGGGAAACUUACGCUAAUAUCGCAUACGACCUACGGGUGAAAGCAGGGGAUCUUCGGACCUUGCGCGAUUGACUGAGCCGAGGUCGGAUUAGCUAGUUGGCGGGGUAAAGGCCCACCAAGGCGACGAUCCGUAGCUGGUCUGAGAGGAUGAUCAGCCACACUGGAACUGAGACACGGUCCAGACUCCUACGGGAGGCAGCAGUGGAGAAUAUUGGACAAUGGGCGCAAGCCUGAUCCAGCCAUACCGCGUGGGUGAAGAAGGCCUUCGGGUUGUAAAGCCCUUUUGUUGGGAAAGAAAAGCAGCAGGUUAAGACCCCGCUGUUCUGACGGUACCCAAAGAAUAAGCACCGGCUAACUUCGUG